UUUUUUUUUGUUUUGCUCAUAUUUGUUUUAUUUUUUUGGGAGUACUUUUCUUUAGCUGUUCAAGUACUGUUUCCUUUUAGUUACACUUCCCACAUGAAUUGCUUCUUCUUUCUUCUUAUUUUGCACUUUCUUUUUUUUCCUUGUUUGUUUCAGUGUCACACAUUUUGUUUGAGGUGAUGAAUCGAACCAAAUCGCUUGAUGUGUUUGCUUUUUAGCCAUUUUGUAUUGAAUGUGGUUUAUUGACAAUUUUCAAGGACAAUUUCUUCACCUUGGGCGUCAGUUGAUUUCCCUUUUGAUGUGUAGUUAACUUUUUUCUUUGUACUAGAAAAUUGCAUUUCUGGUUCUGAUCGUGUGUAUUGCUUUUGCGGUAGUCAAUUGUUUGUCAUUUGGUUAACCAUUUGUUUUAGAGGUUGAAUAUAUAUAUAUAUAUAAAUAUAUA